CCAACUCCAGUCAUAAUAAGGGUAACUGUGUGUGUGUGUCUGUGUCUAUGUGUGUGUGCGCUGUGCAUACACACGCACAUGGUGCACUUGGGUAUGGAAUUGUGUAGAAAGGAACUGUCAGGUUCGCAUCUCACCCCGGGUUUGACCUUCUCUCAGCUCUGAUUCCUGAAGGCGAAAAAUGAGGAAAGACUUCUCUCCAAAGGGAAAAAAUAACAUAAAAUAAAUGGAAAGAUAUUAAUCUUGAGACCAUUUACGGGGAGGUGUUAAGUGGCCCCACUGGCAUUAACAGCAAUGAGCUUCGAAUAUCACUUGUACAGCAAGCUGCUUAGCUCUGCAGAUAACAAGUCACAGCAGGCCUUCUUGGGUUGCAAAUGUAGUCACUCUGUUUGCCAAUUAACUCUUUCCCACACUGCCUUUUAUAUAACCAGCCAGGAAGCUUUGCUGAGACAGCAUCAUCUGCCGGAAAACAGCACUGGCCUGGGAGUUAGAAGAAAUGAUGUGCAGAAGCAGUAGUGGAAGUAGUAACACAUAGUAGCAAUAACAGUAAUAGGAACAUUAUUGGGAAGCCAGAGCCCUUGGAGGCUCUCUAUUUUCUGAAACAAAUGUCUAUGUUUUCUAAGCUUAGUAUCAGCCACUGUCAUUGACAAGGCAUUGUUCUUUUAUCUCAAGAAAUUUAAAUUUGUCUCAGUUGUUCUGUGCAUGCUAAAACGAAAUACUCCAUGGCCUUUCCACGUACACCGCACACCGUCCUUAAUUCAUCUGUGAUGCUAUAGCCUAGAUUUCUGCAGGCCCAGGUUGUUCUGUGUCCUAUAGAGUGUCACGGUCCCAUCCCCUGGAACCAUGACUUCCAGCAGAUGAAAUGUACGGAUCCCAUGGAUGUCCUUUCCAUGCUUGAACUUCCAGCAACAUUUGACUUGCUUAUCUUGUCUUCUUGAAACAUGUUUCCUUUGUCUGUGUGACACCAUGUUUUUCUGGUUUUCCUCCUACCUCAAUGACUAUUUUUUCCCUCAAUCUCCUGUGCUCCUCCUCUUUUCCUCAGCCUCUAUGUGUUGUGAUGUCCUGGGGUCUUCCCUAGACUCCUUUUACUUCGCCAUGUAUAUUUUCUACACAGAGAACAAGGAUGUAAUCAAUCAGCCAAAACAGGACCAUCUUGAGAGUGUGAAAAUGCUAAGCCAGGCAAUAAGUCCUACAGGACCGUCAAUGUCAUUUUAGGUGACCACAUCCUCUCCAUGGUGAAGACUCUUAGAUCUUUCUCUACAGAUUCCAGACUCACAUACUCAGAAGUCAAUUUGAUGUUACUGCUUGGAUUCAAGUAGUCACCUCAAUUGUAAUAUAACCAAAACAGAAUUCUUGAGUUUAUUUUUGCAAAUGUGUUUCUUCUUAGUCUUUCCUAUCCUAGUAAAUGGCUCUACCCUUCAUCUGCCACUCAUAAAGCCAGGUGUUAUCUUUGCUUUCUCUUUCUUCCUUCAUAUUUAAUUCAUCAGUAAUUCCUGUUGAUUCCACUACCACAUUGGAUAAAGCUACCGCACCUCCUAAUUACAUGUCCUAGUAGCAUCUUAACUGGUCUUCCUUCUUUGAUUAUUGGCUGUGUCUAAACUAUUGCCCACACUUUGAAUAAAAUAUAUGCUCCUAACUUUGGUAAUAAGGUUCUCCAUAAUUUACCUUCUCGCACUUCUCUGGCACCAUUUUCUUUUCCCACUCCUCUCAUCCACCUGCCUAGCCUCACCUGGCUUCUUUCUGUUCCUUGAGCACCCAAGCCAGACUCUGCCCUCAAGGCUUUGCAAUGACCCUUCCCACUACCCCAUACCUGCCAUCCUCUGACCCUCAAGGGCCGGCUUUUUUUUUUUUUUUUUUUUUUNNNNNNNNNNNNNNNNNNNNNNNNNNNNNNNNNNNNNNNNNNNNNNNNNNNNNNNNNNNNNACGUCUGCCUCCUGGGUUCAAGUGAUUCUCCUGCCUCAGCCUCCUGAGUAGCUGGGAUUACAGGCACAUGCCUGGCUAAUUUUUGUAUUUUUAGUAGAGAUGGGAUUUCACCAUGUUGGUCAGGCUGGUCUCAAACUCCUGACCUCAUGAUCUGCCCACCUUGGCCUCCCAAAGAGUUAGAAUUAAAGGCGUGAGCCACCACACCCAGCCUGGCUUCUUGACAUUCAGAGCUCUGCUUAAACAAUACCUCCCCCUUUGAUAGCCUUUCACAACUGGUAUUGCUCAUCUGAAUCACAGAACACAACACAUACUUUUAGUAACUGGAUUUUUGUUGUUCAGUUGUUUCAAGGGUUUGUACAUAACCAGUACCAUUCUAGAUGCAUAGAAAUUAACUUAUUAUAUCCUAUGUAUGCAUCAGAGUAGCAGAGUAGCUGGACUUAAUCUUCUCAGGGAACCUCAGUGGAAAAGGACAAAAUAUGCUAUGUCUCAUCACCUAUUAUUCUUCUUUUCAAAGUAGUUAUUACUAGCUGGUGUUUCCCUCAUUUGUUUAUUCCCUAGCUCUUCUGCAAUUGGAAACUCCCUAAGAAUACAGAUUCUGUCCAUUUUCUUUUCUGGUACAUAGUGUGAGUUCAGUAAACAUUUGUUGAAUGAAAAUACAAUGAAGUGAGAUGAAGAACCCAGGAGCAUGAGGACUUCUCUCAACCCCUAUCCAAGGUUGUACCACUUACCCUUCGCUAUACUGCUGAUCCCCCCAUUUUAAUUGUUUUAACACUAUCCUGUAUAUUUCUUUGAUAAUCCUCAUCAAAAUAUUAUUUCAUGUUAUAUGUGCUUAUUGUCUCUCUCCUCUCUUCAGAGUGUGAGCUGCAUAUAAAGAGAGACCUUAUCUCACUCACUGUCCCGUGUAUGCCCAAUGUCUCACCCAAUGACAUCUAGUAGUUUUGUUGUCUCGAUAAAUGAAAAAGAGGGCAAGUCUUUGGGUAAAAAGACUUUGAUCCCAGCUGAGCUUAGCAUCCACCUUGCCCUAGACCUCUGAGCUUGUAACUGUGUGUAUGUGUCAUAUUUUCCCACCUGUAAAAUUAAUACCCAUUAAAACUCAUAUAGCACAAGGAAUAACACAUUCUACAUAAAACUAUUGAGUGCUAUUUUAGUUUGGGUUUUUCAGAAGCUGUCUCUGAAACAAAGAUUUCAGUGCAACUAAACUAAUUUAUCUGGCAAUUAAGGGUACACUGGUAGGAAAGUGGGGAAAAAGAAGGUAGCCAGUAAAAGACGAACCCUUGAGCCAGCAACCAGUGUGGGCAAUGGAGCUUAAUCCGACUGAGUGAACUGAGAGACAGUGUGGCACAUGUGCCUGGGAUUGGCCUCACUAAAGGGAGUGGGAGCUGGGGUAUGCAUACAUUAUCAAUCAUUGACUGAGGGCUCUUCUCAGGGGGGCAUUCAUUCCUUAUCACUUCAGGUCAUCACAAUGGCAGCAAAUCUUGCUCUAAAAGAAAGCCCUUAGACAGAGAAAUGCAGGAGUUGCUGGUGGACACUGGGGCUGGUGUGCACUGUGGUAAGGGCAAGGGGAUAAGGAACAGGGUAGUGGGGGUCAGCUCCAGAAGCAUCUGCUCCAAGGGUCUACCAGGUGCUAGCAGUAGCUCCGUGUCUAGCAUACUAACCUACAUUUCACACACACUCAAUUUUGUCCAUGAACCCGCUGCAACAGUAUACAAACUAUAGAUAAUUACACGUCGUUUCUGUUUGUUUUGUUUUUUUGAGAGGGAGCCUCACUCGGUCGUCCAGACUGGAGUGCAGUGGCACGAUCUCAGCUCAUUGUAACCUCCACCUCCCAGGUUCAAGCAAUUCUUCUGCCUCAGCCUCCCAAGUAGCUGGGAUUACAGGCGCCUGCCACCACGCCUGGCUAAUUUUUGUAUUUUUAGUAGAGACAGGGUUUCUCCAUGUUGGCCAGGCUGGUCUCGAACUCCUGACUUCAGGUGAUCUGCACCGCUAGGCCUCCCAAAGUGCUGAGAUUACAGGCGUGAGCCAGUGUGCCCGGACUACAUGUGUUUUCUAAUCUGCUAAACCUUAACCAGAUUUUCAAAAGGAUCUAUGACCCCAGAGACUUAAGAGCCAUUGGUAUCUGACUGUCUGAUUCCUUUUUAAUUCAUCCAUUCCAAAAUCUAAACAAUGAGUGUACCACAGAGGAAGUACGGAGGGUGUACCCACCAACAACCUCACGACAAUCUCAGGGGAGGGCUUAAGUGUCCCCACACACGAGAGUGGAGAUUUGAGCCAAGCGUACCCAGCUCUCUGAGGAGAAGGGACGCUACCUUAGCACACAUCUUCUAUACAUGUAGGAUGAAGAUCAUAAUCUCUACCUUGUAAGGCUGCUGGAAGAACUAAAUAGCAUAAUGGACAGAAUAUAUUUAAGCACCUAGCACAGGCUCUGGCACCACAGCUUCUAGAGGGUGAGGCAGAGGGCACAUUUGUAUUCUUCAUUUGGAUGCCUAGAAUGAUUGGACACAUAAAUACAUGUUGGGCUGAAAUUUAAGUAGAGGGGAAAUGAGUGACAGGGUGAGUGGGCAUCUGGGCCACAGUGAUUGUUGGCUUCCUGGCUAUUUCCUCAGUGGCCAUUUAAAGCCAAUGACACAGGGGGAGUGUAUCUAUUGCAUUUAGCAGGCCGCUGUUGGUGGGAUUGCACUCUGGGAGUGCUUGCAUGACCCUGCAAUAAUGGAGACAGCUGGAAGAGCAGAAAUAAGGAGAUGCUUCAGACAAACUGCCAAAUAUUUUUUUGACGAAGGAGGUGGGUCCCAAAAGAGAUCGGUCUCCUGAUAUUUGCCUACAGGAUGCCAAGUCAAUGCACUCAGAUGGAUAGACUCAAUCCUAGGUACGUUAUUUGUUUAAAAGUGGCUUGCCUGGUAUAUUUUAGCACUGUCACACAUUGGGCAAAGAUCCAGCUAGAGAAGGUAAAUGAAAUCGUAACCUCAUAGAUCUCUAGGCUAGAAGUAUUUUCAAACAAUUGCUUAGAAACAUGGUUAUAGCCUGGAAAAGAAUCUGGGCAUUAGUUACCAAAAGGCUUGGGUGCAAAUUCUGGCCUUCUGCUUUUUAGAUGUGAAGCAUCAGACCAAACUGUUCAAAGCCUCAGUGUCUCUUUAUUUUAUUAAUUUUUAAAGACAGGGUUUUGUUCCAUCACCCAGGUUAGAGUGCAGUGGCACAAUCAUGGCUCACUGCAGCCUAGACUUUCCAGGCUCAAGCAUUCCUCCCACCUUAGCCUCCCAAGUAGCUGGGAUUACAGGUGCAUGCCACAACACCUGGCUGAUUUUUUGUAUUUUUUGCUAGAGAGGGGGGGUCUUGCUAUGUUGCCUAAGCU
rnacentral:lncRNA from 1 species